rnacentral:rRNA from 1 species
GAUGAACGCUGGCGGCGUGCUUAAUACAUGCAAGUCGAGCGAAGCGGGGACGGGUGAGUAAAACGUGGAUAACCUCCUAUAAGACUGGGAUAACUUCGGGAAACCGGAGCUAAACCGGCUACUUAUAGAUGGAUCCGCGCUGCAUUAGCUAGUUGGUAAGGUAACGGCUUACCAAGGCAACGCUGCAUGGCCGACCUGAGAGGGUGAUCGGCCACAUUGGAACGGAGACCCGGCCCAAGCUCCUACGGGAGGCGGCAGUAGGGAAUCUUCGGCAGUGGGCGAAAGCCUGACGGAGCAAGGCCGCGUGGGGGAUGCGGGCCUUCGGAUCGUAAGACUCUGUUAUUAGGACAGCGGUACCUAAUCAGAAAGCCACGGCUAACUACGUGCCAGCAGCCGCGGUAAUAC